rnacentral:rRNA from 1 species
AUUGAACGCUGGCGGCAUGCCUUACACAUGCAAGUCGAACGGCAGCACGGGAGCAAUCCUGGUGGCGAGUGGCGAACGGGUGAGUAAUAUAUCGGAACGUGCCCAGUCGUGGGGGAUAACGUAGCGAAAGCUACGCUAAUACCGCAUACGAUCUACGGAUGAAAGCGGGGGAUCGCAAGACCUCGCGCGAUUGGAGCGGCCGAUAUCAGAUUAGGUAGUUGGUGAGGUAAAGGCUCACCAAGCCGACGAUCUGUAGCUGGUCUGAGAGGACGACCAGCCACACUGGGACUGAGACACGGCCCAGACUCCUACGGGAGGCAGCAGUGGGGAAUUUUGGACAAUGGGCGCAAGCCUGAUCCAGCAAUGCCGCGUGCAGGAUGAAGGCCUGG